rnacentral:sRNA from 1 species
AGCAGCCGCGGUAAUUCCAGCUCCAAUAGCGUAUAUUAAAGUUGUUGCAGUUAAAAAGCUCGUAGUUGAAUUUCGGGACCAAUAUGUUGGUCGUGCCUAGGUACGUACUGUCAUGAUUGGUUUCUCCCUUCUGAAGAACCACGAUGCCAUUAAUUUGGUGUCGUGGGGAAUCAGGACUGUUACUUUGAAAAAUUAGAGUGUUUAAAGCAGGCUCGCGCUUGAAUACAUUAGCAUGGAAUAAUGAAAUAGGACGUUUGAUUCUAUUUUGUUGGUUUCUAGGAUCGACGUAAUGAUUAAUAGGGAUAGUUGGGGGCAUUAGUAUUCAAUUGUCAGAGGUGAAAUUCUUGGAUUUAUUGAAGACUAACUACUGCGAAAGCAUUUGCCAAGGAUGUUUUCAUUAAUCAAGAACGAA